rnacentral:rRNA from 1 species
GACAGAGGGUGCAAACGUUGUUCGGAAUUACUGGGCGUAAAGCGCGUGUAGGCGGCUCGGUAAGUCGGGUGUGAAAGCCCUGGGCUCAACCCAGGAAGUGCACUCGAAACUCCCGAGCUCGAGUCCCGGAGAGGAAAGUGGAAUUCUCGGUGUAGAGGUGAAAUUCGUAGAUAUCGAGAGGAACAUCUGUGGCGAAGGCGGCUUUCUGGACGGUGACUGACGCUGAGACGCGAAAGCAUGGGGAGCGAACAGG